AACGAACGCUGGCGGCAUGCCUAACACAUGCAAGUCGAACGAGACCUUCGGGUCUAGUGGCGCACGGGUGCGUAACGCGUGGGAACCUGCCCUUAGGUUCGGAAUAACUCCCCGAAAGGGGUGCUAAUACCGGAUAAUGUCUUCGGACCAAAGAUUUAUCGCCUUUGGAUGGGCCCGCGUUGGAUUAGCUAGUUGGUAGGGUAAAAGCCUACCAAGGCGACGAUCCAUAGCUGGUCUGAGAGGAUGAUCAGCCACACUGGGACUGAGACACGGCCCAGACUCCUACGGGAGGUAGCAGUGGGGAAUAUUGGACAAGGGGCGAAAGCCUGAUCCAGCAAUGCCGCGUGAGUGAUGAAGGCCUUAGGGUUGUAAAGCUCUUUUACCCGAGAUGAUAAUGACAGUACCGGGAGAAUAAGCUCCGGCUAACUCCGU
rnacentral:rRNA from 1 species